CUGAGCCCAGCCGCAGGCAUGUCUCUAUUGAAUUGUUGGACACAUUCCUGUGAAACAAGCCUGUCAAGCGAAAACAGUCUACUUGUUCUCUCUGAAAAAGAAGCUAAAAUAAAUCAACUUGAAUAAUGAAUAGUUGUUUGAUAUACCUGCCUUCACCCAGAACUUUUGUGAACUUCCUCGGGAAAGGCACUGAAAGAACUUCAGCUGGACUAUGUAGAUUUACCUCAUUCAUUUCCCAAUGGCUCUUAAGAUCGAGGAUGAAGAAAAUGUGAAACCCUCCUCUGCGGCC